GCAAAAAAUGAAUGGCAAAGUGGAGGAGACAUUGGAGGGCUUUAGCAGCUCCGCCACAGUAUUGCUAGAGUACUCAGAGCCGGAGCCUAAGCCAAACAGGCCCUUAUAUUAGUCAGCGUAGCAGCAUCUUCCCACUAACAGUGACAUGUUACAUACAUUGCCUUAGUGGACCUCACAUGGCUUGAGCUAGUUUGGUGUGGCAAUGAAGGGCUCCCGACACCUCAACCACAUAGGUUGAUCCUUCGUUAUCCAUGCUUAGGUUUCUUCGGUUGCUGUCAUGGUGUGGGUUUUGUGUUGUGUUGUUUUAUCUUCAUCAAUACAUGCUAUGUAUUAAUACUGCUCGCUUCUUUUCGUGUAAUAUAUGCCUUGUUUAGUUUUAAUUUUUUUUUACAAAACGGACACUGUAGUAUUUUUGUUUGUAUUUGACAAAAAUUAUCUAAUCAUGGACUAACUAGACUCAAAAGAUUCGUCUUACAAAUUACAGAUAAACUGUGUAAUUAGUUAUUAUUUUUAUAUAUAUUUAGUGCUUUAUGCAUACACUGCAAGAUUCAAUGUGUGAGUGGGAAUCUAAAAGUUUUUGUAUUUUUUUUUUUGAACUAAAAACAAGGCCUAUAGUUUAAAGACUCGAACAACAGUAUUGCCAAAAAAACAAAGUAAGCAACACUGUACGUUUGUGAGCAAUUUGUGCACGCGAGGUCAAAUCUAGUUAAUCCAGUCUGAGACUAGCUAGCUGAUAUUCAAAUCAUCAUUCUCUUUUGUCUCUUGUCUGCAUUUUGAUCCAUAGCUUGAAUGUUUGAACCGACACCAGCCAGAACAAUUUUGCACGUGACCGUCUGCGUCUCUCUAUAGGGCGUGCUUCAUGUCUGCUUCAGUUGGCGCGUGUACUAUGUACGUACUCCGGCGUCUCCCCCCGGCCGGCGCAUCGUAUGACCAAAAUUGUACUGUAUCCUCACUGUGCCUGUUGUGGCCAGGUUCAUGCACGCAUGAUACAAAACAUGUUACCCAACACGUGCAUCAUCCAUGUGUAUUCCACGCAUGCAAAAUAAACAUGCUGCCACGACACGCGCAUAUUUCCACUGCAAGAAUAUGACCAACGUGUCCAUGUGCAUAUAAGCUGGACUGGUCGUGGCCACGCCACAUUAUUACCGUACGAUCGACGUGCUUGAUCAGCAUGCACCAAAAUACAGGAAAAGACUACGUUGUGUAUGAAUGCUAGAAUAAUACCCAGCGAGUUGCUGCGGGAUUGUAGAUUAGUGGAUUACGUGGCAAUGGUGAUAUGGAUAACAAAUAAUGUGUCUUACUAACGUGGAUAUUACAAUUACAUGAGCUAGUGGAUUUUAGUUGUGUAUGAUAGUGCAUUAUCUAGUUAUGUUGAGAGAAAUAUGUGACUUGCUAAUAUGGAUAUUGUAUGCAUGAGCUGAUGGAUUUUAAUUAUAUGUGAAUUCGCUGUAGCUGUAGGUGCUCACUGUUUCUCUGUGUAUUUUUUAUUAUAAAAUAUCCUAGCUGCGUCGUAUAUAUGCU
rnacentral:lncRNA from 1 species